rnacentral:rRNA from 1 species
GAAAGUAAACAAGGGCGCAUGGCGGAUGCCUUGGCUCUCGGAGGCGAUGAAGGACGUGAUAAGCUGCGAUAAGCUCCGGGGAGGUGCAAAUAACCUUUGAUCCGGGGAUUUCCGAAUGGGACAACCCGGCGUGUUGAAGACACGCCACCUGAUCAUUUCAGGAGCUAACGCAGGGAACUGAAACAUCUUAGUACCUGCAGGAAAAGAAAAUAACAAUGAUUCCCCCAGUAGUGGCGAGCGAACGGGGAAUAGCCCAAACCGUUCAUGUUACGGCAUGAUCGGGGUUGUAGGACUACGUCGUUGCAUGAAGACAUCGGAGAAGAACUUUCUGGAAAGAAAGACCAUAGAGCAUGACAGUUGCGUAUUCGUAUGUUGUCGAAGCAUAGUAGUAUCCUGAGUAGCGCGGAGCACGAGGAAUUCUGCGUGAAUCUGCCGGGACCAUCCGGUAAGGCUAAAUACUCCCGAGAGACCGAUAGCGAACCAGUACCGUGAGGGAAAGGUGAAAAGCACUUCGAACAGAAGAGUGAAAUAGUUCCUGAAACCGUGCGCCUACAAGCGGUCGGAGCUGCUUAAAGCAGUGACGGCGUGCCUUUUGCAUAAUGAACCUACGAGUUGCCUUUGCCGGCAAGGUUAAGUGUGACGACACACGUAUCCGAAGCGAAAGCGAGUCUGAAGAGGGCGUAUAGUCGGCAGUGGCAGACGCGAAACCAAGUGAUCUACCCUUGGCCAGGUUGAAGGCUGGGUAACACCAGCUGGAGGACCGCACCAAUAAGCGUUGAAAAGCUUCUGGAUGAGCUGAGGGUAGGGGUGAAAGGCUAAUCAAACUUGGAGAUAGCUCGUACUCCCCGAAAUGCAUUUAGGUGCAGCCUUGUGGGUUACUGAUGUGAGGUAGAGCGACUGAUAAGAUGCGAGGGCUUCACCGCCUAUCAAGUCUUGACAAACUCCGAAUGCGCAUCAGUUUUACCUCAGGAGUGAGGGCAUGGGUGCUAAGGUCCGUGCCCGAGAGGAGAAGAAUCCGGACCACCUGCUAAGGUCCCGAAAUGACAGCUAAGUUAAACUAACGAAGUCUGACUGCUAAGACAGCUAGGAUGUUGGCUUGGAAGCAGCCAUUCAUUUAAAGAGUGCGUAACAGCUCACUAGUCGAGGAGUCUGGCGUGGAUAAUAAUCGGGUAUUAAGUUGUCUACCGAAGCAGUGGGAUCAUUGAAAUGAUCGGUAGGGGAGCAUUCCAGUCAGCGUCGAAGGCGUACCGCGAGGUAUUCUGGAGCGUCUGGAAAAGCAAAUGUAGGUAUAAGUAACGAUAAAGGGGGCGGGAAACCCCCUCGCCGAAAGACUAAGGUUUCCUGAUCAACGCUAAUCGGAUCAGGGUAAGUCGGGUCCUAAGGCUCAGCCGAAGGGCGAUGCCGAUGGCAGAAACGGUUAAUAUUCCGUUACUACCUCCAGGAGUGAUGUGGAGACGCAGUAGUGACAAUGCCGCCAUCUGACGGAAUAGAUGGUUGAAGGGUGUAGAUGUUGAUCUUGGCAGGCAAAUCCACCAUGAGAAUCGAACCUGAUAGUAUGCCGCGUCCCUCGGGACAAGGCAAUAGUGCAUGUAAUCAUGCUGCCAAGAAAAUCCGCUAAACUAAAUCCUGUAGGUACCCGUACCGUAAACGGACACACGUAGUCGGGAUGAAUAUUCUAAGGCGCUUGAGUGAUUCACGGUUAAGGAACUAGGCAAACUGACCCUGUAACUUCGGGAUAAAGGGUCCCUACCCGGUGACGGGAGGGCGCAGAGAAUAGGUCCAGGCAACUGUUUAACAAAAACACAGGGCUGUGCUAAAUCGAAAGAUCCUGUAUACAGCCUGACACCUGCCCGGUGCUGGAAGGUUAAGAGGAGACGUCAUCGUUGAGAGAAGCGUUGAAUUGAAGCCCCAGUAAACGGCGGCCGUAACUAUAACGGUCCUAAGGUAGCGAAAUUCCUUGUCGGGUAAGUUCCGACCUGCACGAAUGGUG